AUUAAUCCUCUGCAUCUGUGCUACGUGACCACUUGCUGUAGAAUGCAUAGCUUCUACCUUUAAAACCCCAGCCCUGCGGUGGCUCAUGGCUGUUCUUUACCAUCCUGAGGGUGGAGAGCAGACGCUGUGCAUAGCUAAGUAAACACUCCUAGCCCAAUCGGCUAAGUGCUGGUGACUUUCUUGUCG